UACGGAGGGGGCUAGCGUUGUUCGGAAUUACUGGGCGUAAAGCGCACGUAGGCGGCUUUGUAAGUUAGAGGUGAAAGCCCGGGGCUCAACCCCGGAAUUGCCUUUAAGACUGCAUCGCUAGAAUUGUGGAGAGGUAAGUGGAAUUCCGAGUGUAGAGGUGAAAUUCGUAGAUAUUCGGAAGAACACCAGUGGCGAAGGCGACUUACUGGACACAUAUUGACGCUGAGACGCGAAAGCGUGGGGAGCAAACAGG
rnacentral:rRNA from 1 species